rnacentral:rRNA from 1 species
CGAAGCUGGAAUCGCUAGUAAUCGCGGAUCAGCACGCCGCGGUGAAUACGUUCCCGGGCCUUGUACACACCGCCCGUCACACCAUGGAAGUCUGCAAUGCCCGAAGCCGGUGGCCUAACCACUUAUGUGGAAGGAGCCGUCUAAGGCAGGGCAGAUGACUGGGGUGAAGUCGUAACAAGGUAUC